AUGAAGUUGUCCGAUCAGCGAUCAGGAGAUCCAAAUCUUUGAUGUCAUUGUGAUGGAUGUGGCGUUUGUGAGGAAACAGGCUGGGAGGAGAACACCGGGAGGUGGAGGUUUAGGCUGGCCGCAUAGCAGAUCGACAUGCCCGCUUCUGCUUCAGCUCUCUCCGCCGUCUAAGUCGCUGCUGGUCCGGCUACAAUCCACGGCGAGCUCUGACCAGAAAAACAUCACAGCUGAGUCUGGACAAAACAAUGUCACUCUGCCAUGUUGAGCUCCAAACAAUAUCAUACUUGUGGAGUGGAGAAGAGCUGACCUUGAUCCACAAGAUGUUAUUUCAUUUCGGAAGAACUACUUUGUUCUCGUCAGGCAGCAUCCAACUUUUAAGAACCGGGUGGAUCUGCAGGACAGACAGAUGAAGGAUGGAGACGUGUCUUUGAUUCUGAAGGAUGUGACGAUUAAUGACACUGGAACAUACGAGUGUCAUACCUUCAUGGAGAAAACCAAAUCAUGGGAAAACAUCUGCAUCAUCUACCUGAGUGUUGUUGAUCCUCCAGGUCAGACAGGAGGACACACAGAGGAUGGAGGGAAUAAAUAUCCUGCCUUAAGUCAGCCACCAUCGUUCCAGUGCCCAAGAAGAACACAGUGAGCUGCUUGAAUGACUAUCGUCC
rnacentral:lncRNA from 1 species